AUUGAACGCUGGCGGCAGGCUUAACACAUGCAAGUCGAGCGAGCGGCGGACGGGUGAGUAAUGCUUAGGAAUCUGCCUAUUAGUGGGGGACAACAUAUCGAAAGGGAUGCUAAUCCCGCAUACCAUCAGAUGUGCCCAGAUGGGAUUAGCUAGUGGGUGGGGUAACGGCUCACCUAGGAGCCGAUCCCUAGCUGGUCUGAGAGGAUGACCAGCCAAACUGGAACGGAGAAACGGUCAAGACUCCAACGGGAGGAAGAAGUGGGGAUUAUUGCACAAUGGGAGGAAGCCUGAUGCAGCCAUGCGGAGUGUGUGAAGAAGGCCUUGGGGUUGUAAAGCACUUUCAGCGGGGAGGCGUUACCCGAAGAAGAAGCACCGGCUAACUCCGUGCCAGCAGCCGCGGUAAUUC
rnacentral:rRNA from 1 species